UCAUGUUUAUUCGAGGGAAAGAAAAAUACCUGAAGAGAAACCCUAAAUCAUUUUAUUCUCAUCAUCUCUCUCUCUCCAAAAGAAAUAGCUGAAGGUUUCUGUGAUAUUUUCUUCUCUUCUUUUCUGAAAUCGAAGAUCUGGUGAACGAUUGACUGUGUCUGUGUUACCUAGAGAUGAAGGAGAAGGAAUCGAAGAAUGAUUCUGUUGAGAUCAAAGAAAACUCAUGGAAAGAGGUUGUUUCUAGUGUCCAAGAUAGAUACCCUUUUAGACACAUUUUUGUCCACAUUAUAUUUCUAUCACCUGGAAAGAGAUGCAAUUGAUUUGAAAUCGUUUGAGAAAGAGCUUCGUAGGAGGGUAGGUCUGCAAGUAAGUGAAGGAUAAUGUUGUACCAGGUGGAAGGGGUUCUACUAUAUGGUUACUUGGCAAUAUACUGUAUCCAAAAAAAAAUAUUUCUCCUGUUAGAAGAAGCCCAGACUUAAGGUUCCUGUUAGAAGAAGCCCCAAACUUGAAGCUAAAGCUAAGGUUGAUAAACAACAAGGUACCUCUACAUAUAAGAAGUUGUUUUAGGACUUAUUGAACGAAGUUUACUGCGCAUCAUAAGUUCCUGAAGCUAGUGUUGUUGAUAAUUUCAGAGGUUUCUCAAGUACUAAACAUUUGUAGUUAAUGAAUCACCUAUAGAUGAUAAUUAUUCUGGCUUGCUUGCUUUUGAACAGGUUUAAUUUGCAUAUGUAACAACUGAUAUUCUGGGUUGGAAUGAUAUCUUUUUGUAACCAGAAAUUGAUGUAACUCAAAUGUUGUUUUGUAAUAGUGGUAAAAGGGGAUCUUUUCGAACUUGUGAAGAGAACAAUUUUUUUUUAGAUUUAAAUAAUUUAGAAAUGUAGAAAAUUCAAUUAACAAGUGAUAUAAAUUUUAUGGAGAA